GACGGACGCUGGCGGCGUGCUUAACACAUGCAAGUCGAACGGAAAGGCCCUGCUUGCCGGGUACUCGAGUGGCGAACGGGUGAGUAACACGUGGGUGAUCUGCCCUGCACUUCGGGAUAAGCCUGGGAAACUGGGUCUAAUACCGGAUAGGAGCCAUUUUUAGUGUGAUGGUUGGAAAGUUUUUUCGGUGUAGGAUGAGCUCGCGGCCUAUCAGCUUGUUGGUGGGGUAAUGGCCUACCAAGGCGGCGACGGGUAGCCGGCCUGAGAGGGUGGACGGCCACAUUGGGACUGAGAUACGGCCCAGACUCCUACGGGAGGCAGCAGUGGGGAAUAUUGCACAAUGGGCGCAAGCCUGAUGCAGCGACGCCGCGUGGGGGAUGACGGCCUUCGGGUUGUAAACUCCUUUCGCUAGGGACGAAGCUUUUGUGACGGUACCUAGAUAAGAAGCACCGGCUAACUACGUG
rnacentral:rRNA from 1 species